rnacentral:rRNA from 1 species
GACGAACGCUGGCGGUAUGCUUAACACAUGCAAGUCGAACGAGAAGUUUUUUAUUGAACCUUCGGGGGAUAUAAGAGACAGACAGUGGCGAACGGGUGAGUAACGCGUGGGCAACCUACCUAUCGGAGCGGGAUAGCCUCGAGAAAUCGGGAGUAAAACCGCAUAACACGGAUAUAUCGCAUGAUGAAUCCGUCAAAACUCCGGUGCCGAUAGAUGGGCCCGCGUCUGAUUAGCUAGUUGGUAAGGUAAGGGCUUACCAAGGCAACGAUCAGUAGCCGGUCUGAGAGGGCGAACGGCCACACUGGAACUGAGACGCGGUCCAGACUCCUACGGGAGGCAGCAGUGGGGAAUAUUGCGCAAUGGGGGCAACCCUGACGCAGCAAUACCGCGUGAGUGAAGAAGGUUUUCGGAUCGUAAAGCUCUGUUAUUGGGGAAGAAGCAGGACGGUAC